CCUACGGGGGGCAGCAGUAGGGAAUAUUGCUCAAUGGGGGAAACCCUGAAGCAGCAACGCCGCGUGGAGGAUGAAGGUUUUCGGAUUGUAAACUCCUUUUGUUAGAGAAGAUAAUGACGGUAUCUAACGAAUAGGCACCGGCUAAUUCCGUGCCAGCAGCCGCUGUAAUCCGGAGGGUGCAAGCGUGAAUCGGAAUCACUGGGCGUAAAGUGCGCGGAGGCGGGAUAGCAAGUCAGAUGUGAAAUCCUAUGGCUUAACCAUAGAACUGCUUUUGAAACUGUUAUUCUAGAGUAUGGGAGAGGUAGGUGGAAUUCUUGGUGUAGGGGUAAAAUCCGUAGAGAUCAAGAGGAAUACUCAUUGCGAAGGCGACCUGCUAGAACAUAACUGACGCUGAUGCGCGAAAGCGUGGGGAGCAAACAGGAUUAGAUACCCCUGUAGUC
rnacentral:rRNA from 1 species